rnacentral:rRNA from 1 species
GAGGAAACUUGUGCUAAUACCGGAUAAGUCUUUACGGAGAAAGCUUUAUGCACCAUUGGAUGAGCCUGCACUUGAUUAGUUUGUUGGUAGGGUAAUGGCCUACCAAGACUUUGAUCAAUAGCUGAUUUGAGAGGAUGAUCAGCCACAUUGGGACUGAGACACGGCCCAAACUCCUACGGGAGGCAGCAGUGGGGAAUCUUGCACAAUGGAGGAAACUCUGAUGCAGCGAUGCCGCGUGAGUGAAGAAGGCCUUUGGGUUGUAAAGCUCUUUCGUCGGGGAAGAAAAUGACUGUACCCGAAUAAGAAGGUCCGGCUAACUUCGUGCCAGCAGCCGCGGUAAUACGAAGGGACCUAGCGUAGUUCGGAAUUACUGGGCUUAAAGAGUUCGUAGGUGGUUGAAAAAGUUGGUGGUGAAAUCCCAGAGCUUAACUCUGGAACUGCCAUCAAAACUUUUCAGCUAGAGUUUGAUAGAGGAAAGCAGAAUUUCUAGUGUAGAGGUGAAAUUCGUAGAUAUUAGAAAGAAUACCAAUUGCGAAGGCAGCUUUCUGGAUCAUUACUGACACUGAGGAACGAAAGCAUGGGUAGCGAAGAGGAUUAGAUACCCUCGUAGUCCAUGCCGUAAACGAUGUGUGUUAGACGUUGGAAAUUUAUUUUCAGUGUCGCAGCGAAAGCGAUAAACACACCGCCUGGGGAGUACGACC